rnacentral:miRNA from 1 species
GACGUCGAAUAUCGACGUCAUAAACACCAAAGUUGAUCGUGUUUAUGACGUCUUAUAUCGACGUCAUAAACACCAAAUUUGAUCGUGUUUAUGACGUGGAUAUUCGACGUCAUAAAUACCAAAGUUGAUCGUGUUUAUGACGUCGAAUAUCGACGCCAUAAACACCAAAGUUGAUCGUCUUUAUGACGUCUUAUAUCGACGUCAUAAACACCAAAUUUGAUCGUGUUUAUGACGUGGAUAUUUGACGUC